rnacentral:rRNA from 1 species
GACGAACGCUGGCGGCGUGCCUAAUACAUGCAAGUAGAACGCUGAAGGAGGAGCUUGCUUCUCUGGAUGAGUUGCGAACGGGUGAGUAACGCGUAGGUAACCUGCCUGGUAGCGGGGGAUAACUAUUGGAAACGAUAGCUAAUACCGCAUAAGAGUAGAUGUUGCAUGACAUUUGCUUAAAAGGUGCAAUUGCAUCACUACCAGAUGGACCUGCGUUGUAUUAGCUAGUUGGUGAGGUAACGGCUCACCAAGGCAACGAUACAUAGCCGACCUGAGAGGGGGAUCGGCCACACUGGGACUGAGACACGGCCCAGACUCCUACGGGAGGCAGCAGUAGGGAAUCUUCGGCAAUGGACGGAAGUCUGACCGAGCAACGCCGCGUGAGUGAAGAAGGUUUUCGGAUCGUAAAGCUCUGUUGUAAGAGAAGAACGAGUGUGAGAGUGGAAAGUUCACACUGUGACGGUAUCUUACCAGAAAGGGACGGCUAACAACGUG